GCUUAACACAUGCAAGUCGAGCGAGAAUCGUUUAUUGAAGGCUUCGGCUGGAAAUAGAUGAGGAAAGCGGCGAACGGGUGAGUAACGCGUGGGCAACCUGGCCUUAAGAAAAGGAUAGCCCCCGGAAACGGGGAGUAAUACUUUAUGAAAAUGAGAGAGGGCAUCCUACUUUCAUUCAAAGCGCAAGCGCUUAAGGAUGGGCCCGCGUAUCAUUAGCUAGUUGGUGAGAUAACAGCCCACCAAGGCAACGAUGAUUAGCCGGUCUGAGAGGGCGAACGGCCACAUUGGAACUGAGAGACGGUCCAAACGCCUACGGGAGGCAGCAGUGGGGAAUAUUGCGCAAUGGAGAAGAACUCUGACGCAGCAAUACCGCGUGAGCGAAGAAGGUCUUCGGAUCGUAAAGCUCUGUUAUCAGGGAAGAAGAGAAUGACGGUACCUGAUGAGCAAGUCCCGGCUAACUACGUGCCAGCCGCCGCAGUAA
rnacentral:rRNA from 1 species